UACGAAGGUGGCAAGCGUUACUCGGAAUUACUAGGCGUAAAGGGCAGGUAGGUGGUCUGAUAAGUCUGUUGUGAAAGCUCCUGGCUUAACUGGGAGAGGUCAAUAGAUACUGUUAGGCUUGAGUAUGGGAGAGGGUACUGGAAUUCCUGGUGUAGCGGUGAAAUGCGCAGAUAUCAGGAGGAACACCGAUGGCGAAAGCAGGUACCUGGACCAUUACUGACACUCAACUGCGAAAGCUAGGGGAGCAAACAGG
rnacentral:rRNA from 1 species